GACGAACGCUGGCGGCGUGCCUAAUACAUGCAAGUCGAACGCAGUAGGGACGGGUGAGUAACACGUGGGUAACCUCCCAACAGAGGGGAUAACACUUGGAAAAAGGCGCUCAUCCGCUACUGAUGGAUGGAACCGCGGUGCAUUAGCGAUUUGGUGAGGUAACGGCUAACCAAGGCCACGAUGCAUAGCCUGCCUGAGAGGUUGUGCGGCCACACUGGGCCUUAGACACGGUCCAGGCUGCUACGGUAGGCAGCGGUAGAGAAUCUUCGGCAAUGGACGAAAGUCUGACCAGGCAAGGCCGCGUGAGUGAAGAAGGUUUUCGGAUCUUAAAACUCUGUUAUUAGAGAAGCGGUACCUAACCAGAAAGGCACGGCUAACUACGUGCCAGCAGCCGCGGUAAUUC
rnacentral:rRNA from 1 species